GAUGAAGAACGUAGCGAAAUGCGAUAAGUAAUGUGAAUUGCAGAAUUCAGUGAAUCAUCGAAUCUUUGAACGCACCUUGCGCCCUUUGGCCAUUCCGAAGGGCAUGCCUGUUUGAGUAUCAUGAACACCUCAACUCUUUAUGGUUUUCCAUGAUGAGCUUGGACUCUGGGGGUUUUGCUGGCUCACAGUCGGCUCCUCUAAAAUAAAUCAGCUUACCAGUGUUUGGUGGGUAUCAUGGGUGUGAUAACUAUCUACGCUUGUGGUUUUUCCACCAGGUAACCUUCAGCAGUGGAGGUUCGCUGGAGCUCAUAGAUGUCUCUCCUCAGUGAGGACAGCCCUUUAAACGUUUGAUCUCAAAUCAGGUAGGACUACCCGCUGAACUUAAGCAUAUCAAUAAGCGGAGGA
rnacentral:misc_RNA from 1 species